rnacentral:rRNA from 1 species
GACGAACGCUGGCGGCGUGCCUAAUACAUGCAAGUCGAGCGAGACUCUUCGGAGUCUAGCGGCGGACGGGUGAGUAACACGUGGGCAACCUGCCUGUAAGACUGGGAUAACACCGGGAAACCGGUGCUAAUACCGGAUAAUCCUUUUCCUCUCAUGAGGAAAAGUUGAAAGUCGGUUUCGGCUGACACUUACAGAUGGGCCCGCGGCGCAUUAGCUAGUUGGUGAGGUAACGGCUCACCAAGGCGACGAUGCGUAGCCGACCUGAGAGGGUGAUCGGCCACACUGGGACUGAGACACGGCCCAGACUCCUACGGGAGGCAGCAGUAGGGAAUCUUCCACAAUGGACGAAAGUCUGAUGGAGCAACGCCGCGUGAGCGAUGAAGGCCUUCGGGUCGUAAAGCUCUGUUGUUAGGGAAGAACAAGUACCGGAGUAUCUGCCGGUACCUUGACGGUACCUAACCAGAAAGCCACGGCUAACUACGUGCCAGCCGCCGCGGUAAAAC